AUUGAACGCUGGCGGCAUGCCUUACACAUGCAAGUCGAACGGCAGCACGGGUGCUUGCACCUGGUGGCGAGUGGCGAACGGGUGAGUAAUACAUCGGAACAUGUCCUGUAGUGGGGGAUAGCCCGGCGAAAGCCGGAUUAAUACCGCAUACGAUCUACGGAUGAAAGCGGGGGACCUUCGGGCCUCGCGCUAUAGGGUUGGCCGAUGGAUGAUUAGCUAGUUGGUGGGGUAAAGGCCUACCAAGGCGACGAUCAGUAGCUGGUCUGAGAGGACGACCAGCCACACUGGGACUGAGACACGGCCCAGACUCCUACGGGAGGCAGCAGUGGGGAAUUUUGGACAAUGGGCGAAAGCCUGAUCCAGCAAUGCCGCGUGUGUGAAGAAGGCCUUCGGGUUGUAAAGCACUUUUGUCCGGAAAGAAAUCCUUGGCCCUAAUACGGUCGGGGGAUGACGGUACCGGAAGAAUAAGCACCGGCUAACUACGUG
rnacentral:rRNA from 1 species